UCCAGCAACUGGCAUUCGGUUGGUAGAGCAUGAGACUCUCAAUCUCAGGGUCCUGGGUUUGAGUCUCAGGUUGGGGAA